CCAAAACUGUCCUAUUGACCCUACCCCACCCCAAAGACCGCCCUUCUCCCCUCUCUCUCUCUCUCUCUCUCUCUCUCUCUUACCCCCACUGUUGUCCGCCCUAUUCCGCUGCCGGAAAUCACCUCACGGCGACGGACAGCCUCCAAACGGCUCCAAAUCUUCACCAAACAAUCCCCAUCCCCUCCUCUUUUAAAGACCCGUAAUCUCGUCUAUGAAAUCCCCACAGGUUUUUUCAAUUUUUAGAUCUGAGAUUUCUCAAAAAAUUUAAUUCGUCUUUUCCUCCAUUUUAAGUUUGUUGAUUUCGAAAUCAACAUCAGUCGAUAUCAAUCGAUGAUGAUGAUCUCGAAUUAACCGCAUGGCCGCCGGAGUUCCGUCUAACUUCCUUGACCUCUCUUACUGGCUGAUUUGGGUUCCGAGAUGUCGCUUCUUUACACACAUGACGGUGAAGGUGGAAUCAUGGGUUUCAAUUUGAAGUCAAAAGCAUGCGAAGAUUAUGAGUUAAUGAUUCGCAGCUUAUAUGUUGUAAUACUGUUUAGGUCCGGAAAAUAGAUGGUGUUUGGUUCAUAGAAAUGUCUCUUAGUAUGAGUGAGAAUUUGAACUAUUUCCCUUUGUUCCUUUUCGUGCUGUAGUGAUUUAGCUUGAAUAUUCAUGUAUUAAUGUUUAAGAAAGUCUGUAACUAAUUUUGCUCCUCCUGAUAUUUGCAAAUUAUAUUGAAAAGUCAUGUUGAUUGACUGGGUUGAA